rnacentral:rRNA from 1 species
CUACGGGACGCAGCAGUGAGGAAUCUUCCACAAUGGACGAAAGUCUGAUGGAGCGACACCGCGUGAAGGAUGAAGCCUUUGUUGGUGUAAACUUCUUUUCUCUGGGAAGAUAAUGACGGUACCAGAGGAAUAAGGGGCGGCAAACUUCGUGCCAGCAGCCGCGGUAAUACGAAGGCCCCAAGCGUUAUCCGGAAUUACUGGGCGUAAAGCGUCUGUAGGUGGUUUGGAAAGUUUCAAGUUAAAGGUCAGGGCUCAACCCUGUACUUGCUUGGAAAACUAUCAGACUAGAGUGCGGGAGAGGCAAGCAGAAUGGUAAGAGUAGGGGUGCAAUCCGUUGAUACUUACCGGAAUACCAAAAGCGAAGGCAGCUUGCUGGAACGCUACUGACACUGAGAGACGAAAGCGUGGGGAGCAAAAGGGAUUAGAUACCCUAGUAGUC